UGGCAUCAAGUAUCUGGGAGUGCAACUGGGUGAUGACUCUGCAGAGAAAAGGAACUGGGAGGGAGUGGUGGAGAAGAUGGAGGGCAGGCUGGGGAGGUGGCGCUGGCUCUUGCCCAGGAUGUCAUACAGAGGCAGAUCAAUCAUUAUUAACAACCUGGUGGCCUCUUCUCUGUGGCACCGGCUAGCUGUGUUGGAGCCUCCUGCAGGUCUUUUGGGGAGAUUGCAGAGUAUUAUUGUUGACUUUUUUUGGGACAAGCUCCAUUGGGUCCCACAAAGUAUAUUAUUUCUACCUAAAGAAGAGGGAGGACAGGGCAUAGCAAGUCUAGCAAGCAGGAAAGCAGCUUUCAGGUUACAGUUUUUACAAAGCUUUCUAUACGGACCCCAAAAUCUGCCGUGGAGACAAGUAGCUGGAAUUGUUUUUGGUUGGGUUGGAGGUUUAGGUUUUGGAAAAACGUUGUUUUCUCUGGACUGUUCUUGCUUCAAUCUAAAUGUUUUACCACCUUUUUAUCUAAGUGUUUUGAAAACAUGGAGUGUGAUGGAGGCUGGUUGCUUAGAAGCCACAUCCUCUUUGUACUGGCUGCUAAGGGAGCCCAUUCUAAAGGGGGCUCGUCUAGCGGCUGCAUGGGAGGAGGUGCCAAACAUGACUGGAUUACUGAAGGAGAAGGAGAUAACAACUGUCCAGGAGUUGUUGCAGCUGGCUGGUGCUCAGGUGGACAAUGCAGAAAACGUGGCAGGAAGACUGGCAGUCCGAUCCACACGUGUGGUGGGACGUAGACUGGACGGUUUUAAGAAGGCCUUGUCCUCAGAAGACAGAGCCCUUCUGACUGGAUGGUUUAAAGGAGACUUAACACCUGAUCAUAGUGACCCUUUCCCUAAGAUAUGCAUCCGGCCUUUUGGGAAGGACUGUGAGGCUUUGGGUCCUCUGCUGGACAGGCAGGAGUGGAUGUCCAUGGACUCUGCGAGUGGAAAGUCCCUUUACAUGGGAUGUGUGAAAGCUUUAAAUAAGGAAAAACUUAAAGGCAAGACUGACACUCCCUGGAGGGAUCAUCUCAGAGUAAAAGCUGAGGUCAAACCAGCAUGGAGUACACUGUACAAGGCUCCAGUCACAAAAAACAUUGGGGACUUGCAUUGGCGUGUUUUACAUGGAAUCAUAGCAGUCAAUGGUUUUGUCUCUAUUCUAAACCCUAGUGAUUCAGAUAAGUGUCUCUUCUGUAACCUGAGGGAAACCAUUUUUCACUGCUUUGUUGACUGUUCACGACUGAUUCCACUGUUCCAAAACCUGAGGUCCGUUGUGUCUUUGUUCAAAGAAAAAUUUAGUAAACAGUUGUUCAUAUUUGGUUUCUCCUAUAGGAAAAACAAAAAGAAGAAAGGCAAGCUCCUGAAUUUUCUUUUUGGUCAAGCCAAGAUGGCCAUUUAUUUAAGCAGGAGGGAAACGAUAGAUGGAGGCCAGAGACGUGAUUGUGUGUCAAUUUUCAAGUGUCUUGUUAGAGCCCGGAUACGGUUUGAAUAUAAUUAUUACGCAAAGAUGGAGGAUGUGGAUACGUUUAAAGGUGUUUGGGACAGUGAAGGCAUCCUUUUCUCGAUAAAAGACCCAGACAUUACCUUUACAGAUCUGUUGCUUUAGUUUGUUUUUGGUUUUUGUCUCUUGUUUUUUUCUUUUUUCUUUUUGUUUUUAUUUAUUUAUUUUAUUGUGUGUUGUGUGUGUCUGUGUUUUUGUUUUUGUAAAAAUAUGUAAAUAAAUAAGCGGUUUUAAAACUCAAACUCUCUCUCUCUCUCACUUUGACUCUCUCUCUCUCUCGCUCACGCUC
ensembl:lncRNA